GCUGGUUUAUACUACGGGUGCAUUUGUAAAUACAAUCUGGAGUGUCAGAGUGCAACCUGGGCGUUCGUAAAAUUCAGAGCGUUUCGCUCUCGGAGCGUUCAUACUGGACGCUCUGGCUGUGGAGUAGGGUUGAUCCGAGCCUUCUGACCUAACAACAGCAGUCAAGCUCCCAAGCUAACUGGCUAACAUGGUCUAGCUUGCCAGCUACAGUACUUCCAGACAUAUGAGAGAACAGCUCACUCACCCUAGCAGAGCUGAGUGGGCGUGCAGCAGGCAAACCCAGUGAUGUUACUGGUCCCUCAUCUACAGUUGUGACACAAACACUCCAACAUGCAUUUAAAAAGGCAGGCUGCUUAUGCACCUACAUCAAAAAAUGCUCAAGACCUCACUGCAGCCCUUUCAUAUUACAUUGCAAAGGACAUGAUGCCAUUUCAUAUUGUUGAGAAGCAUGGCGUUUUGAGGCUGAUGAAGGUUGCCGUGCCUCACUACAAAGUGAGUGCUGAUCAUUUUGUGUUGUUAGUUUAUGUGGUUGUGUUCAUUUAAACCUGCACAAGGGAAACGUUUACCUCUCAUGGCCAGAUGGUGCCAUCUUUAAUGUUAAUUCCAUUAUUUUUAUGUUUAUGCAUACAAAAAGUGCAUAGUAAUGCUAAUUUUAUUUGUUGUUUGUUGGUUUUCAAUAUAAAACUUGGUGAAAUGA